GCUCCCCUGGCGUAAUGGUAACGCGUUGGACUUCUACCCUCACCCGGGACACGUGUUUAAGUGAUCACUAUGAGUUAUGGGAACAGAGAUUGGGGGAUCCAAAGACUGCGGGUUCGAGCCCCGCGGGGAGUG
rfam:Puccinia graminis f. sp. tritici CRL 75-36-700-3 supercont2.92 genomic scaffold, whole genome shotgun sequence.